AAGGGUGCAAUUUGAUCACUUUUCUCACCAGCAACAGCAUUUACGUUGGCAGCAAGGAUUGGCUUUGCGAAAAUUGCUAUCGACCUUUGGAGUCGCGGUCACGUGCGUUUUGCAGAAGUUGCACGGCGAUAUCGACGCGGGUGAGCGCAACGAGUGGGGUAGAUUUGAGAAAAGAAGCGGUACGAUUAGUUAUUGUGCGUCAAUGAAUCCGACAACUGCAGAUGGAAUAGAAAUGUAGCGACUCCGAUGCGAUAAUCGGAUAGUUUACAAAAACAGUAUAUCUCAGUAAAGGGUAACCGCAGGUUCGGGUAUUUUGAUUGUUUGGUUAUUGGAGUCAAGUGCAACGACUCUGGCGAAUAGUCAGAAACUAGCAGGAUCAAUAACUCCCAGUAAACGGUAAAAAAUGACAAAUCACAAAAUGUUUUGUUUACGGGACCUACUGGAAGAAGUAUUCUACAAGAUGCAAGAGGUUUCACUCCGAUUUAUCAAGUCAUCUCGACGUAAUCGUCAAAGAUACCUAAAAAUUACGGUUUUUUGCUAAAAAGAAAAAAUGGGUAAAAAAUGACAAAUUGCAAAAAGUCUUAAUAGCGGGACCACCGGGAUGACAUGCUUUACAAGAUGCAACAGCGCAAAAAUCGCAGCGACUCCGAUGCGAUAAUCAGAUAGCUUGCAGGAUCAGUAUUUUCCAGUAAAGGGUAACUGCAGGAUAGGUUAAGUCGAGGAGUUCGGUUUGAAUGCACAAGGACUGAAUCGUGUAGCAGAAAUAUAGCACGCGUCGCGAAAAAAGCCUCGCUUAUUAAUUUAACUUGUUAGUUUAAUCAAAUAAUAACUUGAGCGAUAAAGUUAUUAUGUUGUGGGAUCGUUGCACAGGCUAGGAUUGCUUAUUAAUAAAAUAGUAAAGGUUUUAAAGUUGACUCAACAGACUUCAAUGUAAAUAAAUGAGUGUAUAUUCAAUAAUGGUUUGGAUUAUUA